UGACGGUACCGGGUGAGGAAGCACCGGCUAACUCCGUGCCAGCAGCCGCGGUAAUACGGAGGGUGCGAGCGUUGUCCGGAAUCAUUGGGCGUAAAGGGCGCGUAGGUGGCCCGGUCAGUUCGUGGUGAAAGCGCGGGGCUCAACCCUGCGUCGGCCAUGAAUACUGCCGCGGCUGGAGCACUGUAGGGGCAGGCGGAAUUCCGGGUGUAGCGGUGGAAUGCGUAGAGAUCCGGAAGAACACCGGUGGCGAAGGCGGCCUGCUGGGCAGUUGCUGACACUGAGGCGCGACAGCGUGGGGAGCAAACAGGAUUAGAUACCCUGGUAGUCCACGCCGUAAACGAUGGGCACUAGGCGCUUGGGGGAGCGACCCCCCGAGGGCCGGCGCUAACGCAUUAAGUGCCCCGCCUGGGGAGUACGGCCGCAAGGCUGAAACUCAAAGGAAUUGACGG
rnacentral:rRNA from 1 species